UACGUAGGGUCCGAGCGUUGUCCGGAAUUACUGGGCGUAAAGAGCUCGUAGGUGGUCUGUCGCGUCGGAUGUGAAAAUCCAGGGCUUAACCCUGGACCUGCAUUCGAUACGGGCAGACUAGAGUUCGGUAGGGGAGACUGGAAUUCCUGGUGUAGCGGUGAAAUGCGCAGAUAUCAGGAGGAACACCUGUGGCGAAGGCGGCCCCCUGGUUGGAUACUGACGCUGAUACGCGAAAGCGUGGGGAGCAAACAGG
rnacentral:rRNA from 1 species